CCUACGGGCGGCUGCAGUGGGGAAUAUUGCACAAUGGGCGCAAGCCUGAUGCAGCCAUGCCGCGUGUGUGAAGAAGGCCUUCGGGUUGUAAAGCACUUUCAGCGGGGAGGAAGGCGUUAAGGUUAAUAACCUUGUCGAUUGACGUUACCCGCAGAAGAAGCACCGGCUAACUCCGUGCCAGCAGCCGCGGUAAUACGGAGGGUGCAAGCGUUAAUCGGAAUUACUGGGCGUAAAGCGCACGCAGGCGGUCUGUCAAGUCGGAUGUGAAAUCCCCGGGCUCAACCUGGGAACUGCAUUCGAAACUGGCAGGCUAGAGUCUGGUAGAGGGGGGUAGAAUUCCAGGUGUAGCGGUGAAAUGCGUAGAUAUCUGGAGGAAUACCGGUGGCGAAGGCGGCCCCCUGGACAAAGACUGACGCUCAGGUGCGAAAGCGUGGGGAGCAAACAGGAUUAGAUACCCCAGUAGUC
rnacentral:rRNA from 1 species